AUUGAACGCUGGCGGCAGGCCUAACACAUGCAAGUCGAGCGGAUGAAGGGAGCUUGCUCCUGGAUUCAGCGGCGGACGGGUGAGUAAUGCCUAUGAAUCUGCCUGGUAGUGGGGGAUAACGUCCGGAAACGGGCGCUAAUACCGCAUACGUCCUGCGGGAGUAAGUGGGGGAUCUUCGGACCUCACGCUAUCAGAUGAUCCUAGGUCGGAUUAGCUAGUUGUUGGGGUAAAGGCCUACCAAGGCGACGAUCCGUAACUGGUCUGAGAGGAUGAUCAGUCACACUGGAACUGAGACACGGUCCAAACUCCUACGGGAGGAAGCAGUGGGGAAUAUUGGACAAAGGGCGAAAGCCUGAUCCAGCCCUGCCGCGUGUGUGAAGAAGGUCUUCGGAUUGUAAAGCCCUUUAAGUUGGGAGGAAGGGCAGUAAGUUAAUACCUUGCUGUUUUGACGGUACCAACAGAAUAAGCACCGGCUAACUUCGUG
rnacentral:rRNA from 1 species